AUUGAACGCUGGCGGCAGGCCUAACACAUGCAAGUCGAGCGGGGCGGCGGACGGGCGGGUGAUGCCUAGGUAUCUGCCUGGCCGUGGGGGAUAAGGUCCGGAAACGGACGCUAAUACCGCAUACUAUCUGUUGAGCGUAGGUGGGAUUAGCUAGAUGGUGGGGUAAGGGCCUACCAAGGCGACGAUCCGUAACUGGUCUGAGAGGGUGAUCAGUCACACUGGAACUGAGACACGGUCCAGACUCCUACGGGAGGCAGCAGUGGGGAAUAUUGGACAAUGGGCGAAAGCCUGAUGCAGCCAUGCCGCGUGUGUGAAGAAGGUCUUCGGAUUGUAAAGCACUUUAAGUUGGGAGGCGUUACCAACAGAAUAAGCACCGGCUAACUUCGUGCCAGCAGCCGCGGUAAUUC
rnacentral:rRNA from 1 species